UACGUAGGCAGCAAGCGUUGUUCGGAGUUACUGGGCGUAAAGAGUGCGUAGGUGGUGCCCUAAGUCUGUUGUGAAAUCUCCCGGCUUAACUGGGAGGGUGCGGUGGAAGCUGGGGUGCUUGAGUGUGGGAGAGGUAAGCGGAAUUCCUGGUGUAGCGGUGAAAUGCGUAGAUAUCAGGAGGAACACCGGUGGUGUAGACGGCUUACUGGACCACGACUGACACUGAGGCACGAAAGCGUGGGUAGCAAACAGG
rnacentral:rRNA from 1 species